rnacentral:rRNA from 1 species
UACAGAGGUCUCGAGCGUUAGGCGGAAUCACUGGGCUUAAAGCGUGUGUAGGUGGAUCGUUAAGUACCUUGUGAAAUCCCACGGCUCAACCGUGGAACUGCUUGGUAUACUGGUUCUCUUGAGCCACCUAGGGGCAACCGGAACAAACGGUGGAGCGGUGAAAUGCGUAGAUAUCGUUUGGAAACGCCAAUGGUGAAAACAGGUUGCUGGGGG